GACGGAGGGUGCAAGCGUUGUUCGGAUUGACUGGGCGUAAAGGGCGUGUAGGCGGUUUGUCAAGUCGGGUGUGAAAGCCUGGGGCUCAGCCUCAGAAGUGCAUCCGAAACUAGCGAGCUAGAGCGCGAUAGAGGAGGGUGGAAUUCCUGGUGUAGCGGUGAAAUGCGUAGAUAUCAGGAGGAACACCGGCGGCGAAGGCGGCCCUCUGGAUCGUUGCUAACGCUGAGACGCGAAAGCGUGGGGAGCAAACAGG
rnacentral:rRNA from 1 species